ACGACGACGUCUCCUCGUCUCCGGCGGCGGCGGAGGCCAUGCACGACGACGGCUCCUUGUCUCCGGCGGCGGCGGAGGCCAUGGACGACGACGGCUCCUCGUCUCCGGCGUCGUACAUCAGACUGGUACGCAAGUGCUUUCGCGCGAUCUGCUGCCGUGCAUUGAGAAUUUGAGAUACACGGCAUGCAUGGUGAUAUUUAAGCAUGGUGAUGAUAUAUGUAAGCGAAACCUUAAUUAUAAUAUGCAGGUGCAGCAUCUGAUCGAGAAGUGCAUCUGCUACAGCAUGAACAAGGAGGAGUGCAUGGUGACGUUGGAGAAGCACGCCAACAUCCAGCCCGUCAUCACAUCCACCGGUAUUGUCCUAGCUGCAUGUUCUUCUUCUUCAUCUUCCAUUGCAUCCCUGCAAGCGAUUAGACGAGGGCAUUUCCCGAAACUUGCUAGUCCAGUAGUCCUAUUAUAUUGUUGAUUUCUUCUUUGCGUUGAUAGUUUGGAAGGAGCUGGAGAAGGAGAACAGGGAGUUCUUCGAGACGUACAGGAAGGAGAACAGGGAGUUCUUCGAGACGUACAAGAAGGAUCGGCCGGGAGAAGAGUCGACGCAGAAGAAUCCAUCCGACGAGAAGCCUUCCGCUCCCAAGAGCUCAGAGCCUCAGACGACGACGACGACGACGAGGAGC
rnacentral:lncRNA from 1 species